rnacentral:rRNA from 1 species
UCGAUAACGAACGAGACCUUAACCUGCUAAAUAGCCAGGCCCGCUUCGGCGGGUCGCCGGCUUCUUAGAGGGACUAUCGGCUCAAGCCGAUGGAAGUUUGAGGCAAUAACAGGUCUGUGAUGCCCUUAGAUGUUCUGGGCCGCACGCGCGCUACACUGACAGAGCCAACGAGUUUUUUUCCUUGGCCGGAAGGUCUGGGUAAUCUUGUUAAACUCUGUCGUGCUGGGGAUAGGGCAUUGCAAUUAUUGCCCUUCAACGAGGAAUGCCUAGUAAGCGCAUGUCAUCAGCAUGCGUUGAUUACGUCCCUGCCCUUUGUACACACCGCCCGUCGCUACUACCGAUUGAAUGGCU